UGGGGAAUAUUGUACAAUGGGCGCAAGCCUGAUGCAGCAACGCCGCGUGAACGAUGAAGGUCUUCGGAUCGAAAAGUUCUGUUGCAGGGGAAGAUAAUGACGGUACCCUGUGAGGAAGCCCCGGCUAACUACGUGCCAGCAGCCGCGGUAAUACGUAGGGGGCUAGCGUUAUCCGGAUUUACUGGGCGUAAAGGGUGCGUAGGUGGUCUUUCAAGUCGGUGGUUAAAGGCUACGGCUCAACCGUAGUUAGCCUCCGAAACUGGAAGACUUGAGUGCAGGAGAGGAAAGUGGAAUUCCCAGUGUAGCGGUGAAAUGCGUAGAUAUUGGGAGGAACACCAGUAGCGAAGGCGGCUUUCUGGACUGCAACUGACACUGAGGCACGAAAGCGUGGGUAGCAAACAGG
rnacentral:rRNA from 1 species